CUUCUUGAGAAAAUAAGAGAAAAUCCAAUUUUUUCAACAAACUUUCUCAGAAUUCAGAGAGCGGUCUCAAAGUCAAACGGGUCCAAACGCUCCUGUGGACCAAUUUCUCUCGAGAAUUUUUGGCAUUUGGGGUGGAUUGUGUGGGGAGGGACAUCCUUUGCGAGCUAGCGGUGGACCCAGUGUAACGCUCGGAUACAGUCUGAUAUCUAAUAUUUUUCAACGAAAAGAUCGGCUUUCUUACACCGAUAAGCCCCUGUACUUAUAAUCUCGAAUGCAUCGCCACUGUUGUGUACCAACCCCUUCUCCAGUCUCCUCCUUACCUCUAAUUUUAUAUGAUUGUAACCAGUCGGAUAGUUAUACAGAAAGACACUGAGAAUAUCCUUGGAAGCUGAAUUUUGUGUUUAUAAAAAGGUUCUGGUGCGGUGGAUAGAUGUCUACUCUCAAUAAAGAGCUUGUCUUUUUAAUUUUACAGUUCCUCAAUGAGGAAGGUUUCAAAGGAGCUGCUCACAUGCUUGAGAAUGAAACUGGGUUUUACUUCAACAUGGAAUUUUUUGGGGAGUUGAUACUUAGUGGGAGUUGGGAUGAGGCUGAGAGGUAUCUUGCUGGUUUCACUAAGUUAGAUGACAAUAGAUGCUCGACCAAGAUCUUUUUUGAGAUCAGGAAGCAGAAGUUCCUUGAGGCGUUGGACAAGAAUGAACGUGCCAAGGCUUUAGAUAUCCUUAUGAAGGAUUUGAAAGUUUUUGCACCAAAUAACGAGGCCCUCUUCAUGGAAAUGACUCAGCUUUUGACAUUAAACGAUAUAAGGGAACAUGACUCACUCUCCAUGUAUGGAGAUACAGAGUCUGCAAGGCAAAUCUUGAUGCUUGAAGUUAAGAAAAUUAUAGAGGCAAACCCCCUUUUCCAUGACAAAUUGAAAUUUCCCAGCAUUAGAAGUCAGAGAUUACGCCGUCUCAUAAAUCAGGGUCUGAAUUGGCAGCAUAUACAUUGUACACUUCCUCAACCAAAUCCCAAUAUAAGUACCCUUUUUGUGGAUCAUGUUUGUCUACCACCAGAGGAUCAGUUACUUUCAACAUCAAUUGAUAACAAUCUAUUGGCCACAUCAAUGCCAGCACCAAUAUCCCCAGCCAGUUCUAUAUCUACACCAUCAACCGUGUCUCAUUCUGAAAUUUCUAGCGGAGCCAUCUGUCUUGGUGGUUCAACAAACCUAGAUGGUUUGAAGAACACUAAUGGAGUAUCUGAAAUUUUUCCUUCAGAGACCUCUAAUAAGGAAACAUCAGCUGUCACACAUCCUGGUGAAAGCUUUUUCAACAUUGACAAUGAUUUCUCGACUGUCAUUCAUCCUGAUCAAAGUAUUUUCAAAAUUCCUGAUGACUUGCCCAAGAGUCCUCAGAAGAACAAUACAUUUGAAAGCUGCAGACAGAUAAACAAUACUGACUUGCCCAAGACUGUUGCAAGGAUAUUGAAUGAGGGGUCAUCUCCAACGAGCAUGGAUUUUCAUCCUGUUAAACAAACUAUUCUUCUAGGUUUACACAAAAGGAUUAUUUCAGUACUCUUCGAUGCAUUUUAGGAUAAAUAGCUUAUUUGAACCUGAUGUUUACUUGUGGAAUUUGAUGGCUUGAUGCUUCAGUUGGAACUAAUAUGGGAGAUAUAGGAUUGUGGGAAGUUAGUUCUGGGGAAAAGUUGCUGUCAAGGAAUUUUAAGUUUUGGGAUAUUGGAGCAUGCUCAAUGAAAUUCAAGGUUUGUCCCCACUCAUGUGAUCAUGUUUUAUAUUAGCUGGAAACACAAUUAUACGAGUGAAAUCUGAAUCAAUCUGACAUAUAAGCAGGCAGCUCUUCUUAAGGAUCCAUGUGUUUCUGUUAAUUGUAUUGCAUGGAGCCCUGAGGGUUCUUUAUUUGGUAAGUUGAAAGAUAUUAAAACACUCAGGUGGAAACAAUAGCCAGUUACUUUGGAUUUUCGUGAUCCUAUCUUGUCUGCCCUUCCUAAACCAGGUGCUGCGUAUUCGAAACACAUGGUGCAAAUAUAUUCUUAUGUUGGUGCGAAUGAUGUCCAGCAUCAAAUGGAGAUCGAUGCUCAUGUUGGUGGUGUAAAUGACUUAGCAUUCUCUGCCCCUGAGAAAAAACUUUUGGUCAUAACUUGCGGUGAUGAUAAGAUGAUUAAGGUAUGGGAUGUCACUACUGGUGUCAGAAUGUAUAGUUUUGAAGGUCAUGAUGCUGCUAUUUAUUCUAUCUGCCCUCAUAGCAAGGAAGGCAUUCAUUUUAUCUUUUCAACAUCAGUGGAUGGCAAUAUAAAAGCAUGGCUAUAUGAUAACAUGGGAGCCAGAGUUGAUUAUGAUGCUCCUGGUCUGGGGUGUACAUCAAUGGCAUAUAGUGCUGAUGAUAAAAGGCUUUUCUCAUGUGGGACCAGUAAAUGUGGGGAGUCAUUUCUUGUUGAAUGGAAUGAAAGUGAAGGUGCAAUAAAGAGAAUCUACCAUGGAUUGCAGAAGAAUUCUUUGGCUGUAGUACAGUUUGAUAUAAUGAAGAAUCAAUUCUUGGCUGCUGGUGAUGAGCAUGUAAUUAAAAUUUGGGAUGUGGACAAUGUUGAUCUUUUCUCGACUAUUGAUGCAGAUGGUGGAUUACCUGCAAAUCCACGUAUUCGGUUCAACAAAGAUGGCACAUUGUUGGCUGUUUUUGCUAAUGAAAACAGAAUUAAGAUUUUGGCUACUGAUUGUGGUCUUCAGUUGCUGCACAAAUCUGAAAACUGCUCAGUUGAUGACUCUAGAGUUCUUUCUGAUACUUUUAGGAAGCUUGCAAUUAACCCAGCUUCAACUGUUACUUGUGCCGGAGUUGCUGAUGAAGCACUGGAGAAUGGGGACUCAAAAAGUUUGGAGGCUGUGAAAUAUGAAUUUACUGGGAAAGCUGAUCAGAAACUCUUUGAAAUGAACAAGUGUUCUCAGUGCCAGACCUUGCGGCUUCCUUCAUAUGUAAAUGCUAACAAGAUAUCAAAAUUGGCUUACAACAAUGCAGGUAAUGCCAUUUUGGCAUUGGCAUCAAAUGGUAUUCAUCUAUUUUGGAAAUGGCAACUUAAUGACCUUAAUAUGAGUGGCAAGGCAACUACAGAAGUUCUCCCUCAACAAUGGCAACCAAAGAGUGGCCCAAGGCUGAUGACAAAUGACCUUACAGACACAAAGUAUGGAGAAACCCUUUCUUGUUUUGCUUUGUCCAAGAAUGAUUCAUAUCUCAUGUCAUCAUCAGGAGGGAAGAUAUCCCUGUUCAACAUGGUGACAUUCAAGACAAUGCUGUGUAUCAGGCCUGCACCACCUGCAACAACUAGUCUUGCUUUUCUCCCUCAAGAUAACAACAUAGUUGCUAUAGGGAGGGACGACUCCACAAUUUUAAUAUAUAAUGUUCGUCUAGCUAAGGUUAUCAGUAAGCUUGAGGGUCAUUCCAAGAGAGUAUCUAGCCUUGCCUUUUCUAAAGCCCUGAAUUUGCUUGUUUCUUCUGGAGCAGAUUCUCAGAUUUUGGUGUGGAACGUUAAAGGGUGGGAAAAACACAGAAGCGGAUUCUUACAGAUUCCUGACGAGAAAAAGCAUGAAGCAUUAUUGGACACCCAUGUCCAGUUUCAUCAGGAUCAAACACGCUUCCUUGUUGUACAUGAGAGUUGUCUCUCAAUUUAUGAAGCCAGAGAUUUAGAAUGUUUAAAGCGGUGGGUUCGAGGAGAUCUUGUGCCAAUCUCCCAAGCAACUUUCUCAUGUGAUAGCCAAAUGGUGUAUGCCACCUUUGUGGAUGGAAGUGUAUCUAUAUUUGAUGCUUCACGUCUUGAACUACAUUGUCGGAUUACUUCCACUGCUUACCUUCCAUUUAGUUCAUGUGAUGAUGGUUAUCCGCUAGUUAUUGCUGCACAUCCACAGAAACCAAACCAAUUUGCAGUGGGGCUAUCAAAUGGUGGGGUGAUUGUAUUUGAGCCUCUAAAUCCUGCUGGCAAGUGGAGUACGUUGCCACCAUAUGAAGAUGGGUCAGAAGGUGCCAUGCCUGUCGAAUCUGAUGUUGACUAAUCAAAGUUCCUCGCAAUCUGAUUUCAACGAUUUCAGAGUUUGAUCAAACCAAGCUUUUUACAUAGAAAUGACGAAUUGGACAAAAGUCCCUUGGCUGGAAUAUAUAUGCCCCAUAUAUAAAUCAACAUAUUUAUGUGCUUGUGCUUCCUAUAUGGUUUUUGGGUGGCAUAGACCACACUACAGUUGCUAAUAAGAGCCACAUCCUCGUUACCAGAAUUUCCUUUCAUCAUUUGCAAACAUAACGACCCCCCCCUUUCCUUUCUUUCUUUCUUUCGUUCCCUUUUCUCUAAUUUAAGAAAAGAGGCAGAAAAGUAACAAAAUUUACUAUGCUGUCGAUUCUGGCUUAUCUAAUAUUUGGGGGUUUGCUGUAUGAAAAGCUCAUGUUACAUCAACUCUGUAGUUGAAACCUGGAAAGAGCCAAUCUCAUCAAUUGUGAGAAUCACAGAAAUAUGAUAUAGUUAUUUGUGUUAGAACUUUCUAUGGAUUCAUUGCAAGGGCCAUUCUGAUUCUAUGCGGCCAUGACUCGAAAGAUAUUAGCUCUUGUAGUUGUAGUGGACUGAGUGUGAGAGUGUCUGUUCGCUUCCCUCUCUUUUUCUCUCCUCUUCUCAAUUUAUUUCAUGCUUGAGUAGUUAGAACGUAGCCUAGUAGGCCACGCAAGGCUCGGAAGGUCUGAGAGCCCACUGCACUAAGCAUUCACUUGGUUUUAUAUUUGUCCUUCGUGACUGUGCCAUGCUUUUCUAGCGUCCCAGCUAAAAUUUCUCCCAAAUAUGAUGAUGAUGAUGAUCAC
rnacentral:misc_RNA from 1 species